rnacentral:rRNA from 1 species
AUGCUGGAGGUAUCAGAAGUGCGAAUGCUGACAUAAGUAACGAUAAAGCGGGUGAAAAGCCCGCUCGCCGGAAGACCAAGGGUUCCUGUCCAACGUUAAUCGGGGCAGGGUGAGUCGACCCCUAAGGCGAGGCCGAAAGGCGUAGUCGAUGGGAAACAGGUUAAUAUUCCUGUACUUGGUGUUACUGCGAAGGGGGGACGGAGAAGGCUAUGUUGGCCGGGCGACGGUUGUCCCGGUUUAAGCGUGUAGGCUGGUUUUCCAGGCAAAUCCGGAAAAUCAAGGCUGAGGCGUGAUGACGAGGCACUACGGUGCUGAAGCAACAAAUGCCCUGCUUCCAGGAAAAGCCUCUAAGCAUCAGGUAACAUCAAAUCGUACCCCAAACCGACACAGGUGGUCAGGUAGAGAAUACCAAGGCGCUUGAGAGAACUCGGGUGAAGGAACUAGGCAAAAUGGUGCCGUAACUUCGGGAGAAGGCACGCUGAUAUGUAGGUGAGGUCCCUCGCGGAUGGAGCUGAAAUCAGUCGAAGAUACCAGCUGGCUGCAACUGUUUAUUAAAAACACAGCACUGUGCAAACACGAAAGUGGACGUAUACGGUGUGACGCCUGCCCGGUGCCGGAAGGUUAAUUGAUGGGGUUAGCGCAAGCGAAGCUCUUGAUCGAAGCCCCGGUAAACGGCGGCCGUAACUAUAACGGUCCUAAGGUAGCGAAAUUCCUUGUCGGGUAAGUUCCGACCUGCACGAAUGGCGUAAUGAUGGCCAGGCUGUCUCCACCCGAGACUCAGUGAAAUUGAACUCGCUGUGAAGAUGCAGUGUACCCGCGGCAAGACGGAAAGACCCCGUGAACCUUUACUAUAGCUUGACACUGAACAUUGAGCCUUGAUGUGUAGGAUAGGUGGGAGGCUUUGAAGUGUGGACGCCAGUCUGCAUGGAGCCGACCUUGAAAUACCACCCUUUAAUGUUUGAUGUUCUAACGUGGACCCGUGAUCCGGGUUGCGGACAGUGUCUGGUGGGUAGUUUGACUGGGGCGGUCUCCUCCUAAAGAGUAACGGAGGAGCACGAAGGUUGGCUAAUCCUGGUCGGACAUCAGGAGGUUAGUGCAAUGGCAUAAGCCAGCUUGACUGCGAGCGUGACGGCGCGAGCAGGUGCGAAAGCAGGUCAUAGUGAUCCGGUGGUUCUGAAUGGAAGGGCCAUCGCUCAACGGAUAAAAGGUACUCCGGGGAUAACAGGCUGAUACCGCCCAAGAGUUCAUAUCGACGGCGGUGUUUGGCACCUCGAUGUCGGCUCAUCACAUCCUGGGGCUGAAGUAGGUCCCAAGGGUAUGGCUGUUCGCCAUUUAAAGUGGUACGCGAGCUGGGUUUAGAACGUCGUGAGACAGUUCGGUCCCUAUCUGCCGUGGGCGCUGGAGAACUGAGGGGGGCUGCUCCUAGUACGAGAGGACCGGAGUGGACGCAUCACUGGUGUUCGGGUUGUCAUGCCAAUGGCACUGCCCGGUAGCUAAAUGCGGAAGAGAUAAGUGCUGAAAGCAUCUAAGCACGAAACUUGCCCCGAGAUGAGUUCUCCCUGACCCUUUAAGGGUCCUGAAGGAACGUUGAAGACGACGACGUUGAUAGGCCGGGUGUGUAAGCGCAGCGAUGCGUUGAGCUAACCGGUACUAAUGAACCGUGAGGCUUAACCUU